CUGAGCAGCAGCUGAAGUUAAUAAGCUGCCGAACCAGGGGCAAAGAGGAUAGUGGCAAUUACACAGCAAACUGUGAAACAGUGUUUCUCCUUUGAUACUUUCAAAAUGAAAAUUGAUAUUCAUAGCCACAUUCUACCUAAGGAAUGGCCUGACCUGAAAAAGAGAUAUGGCUAUGGUGGAUGGGUACAGCUGGAUCAUCACUGCAAGGGACAGGCAAAGAUGAUGAAGGAUGGAAAGAUCUUUAGAGUUAUUCAAGAGAACUGCUGGGAUCCAGUAGUGCGGAUUAAAGAGAUGAACCUAUCAGGAGUUACAGUCCAAGUCCUUUCCACUGUCCCUGUGAUGUUCAGUUACUGGGCGAAACCUCAGGAUACUUUAGAUCUAUCCCAGAUGUUGAAUAAUGACUUAGCUGAUACAGUAAGAAAGUACCCCAAGAGGUUCAUAGGCUUGGGUACGUUACCUCUGCAAGCUCCAGACCUGGCUGUGAGGGAAAUGCAUCGGUGUGUGAAGGAACUUGGAUUUCCAGGAGUACAAAUAGGAUCUCAUGUCAAUGAGUGGGACCUGAAUGCACCAGAACUCUAUGAUAUUUAUGCUGCCGCUGAACAACUAAAUUGCUGCCUUUUUGUACACCCCUGGGACAUGCAGCAGGACGGAAGGAUGUCCAAAUACUGGUUUCCUUGGCUGAUAGGUAUGCCAGCAGAAACAACCAUGGCCAUUUGCUCCAUGAUUAUGGGAGGAAUUUUUGAAAGAUUUCCGAAGCUGAAAGUUUGCUUUGCACAUGGAGGAGGUACUUUUCCAUACACAGUAGGGCGAAUCUCCCAUGGAUUCAACAUGCGCCCCGAUCUGUGUGCCAUGGAUAAUAAGGUGGAUCCAAGAAAAUACCUCGGUUCAUUUUACACAGACUCUCUAGUCCACGAUCGUGGUGCACUAAGGCUCCUAACAAGUGCAAUAGGAGAGAAAAUGUGGAAGACAGAAUAAUGGAUACCUACAAAUCAGCAAGAAGCUUAUAGUUGUGUCUUAUUCUCCAGAGCUCACCAGACAACAAAAACAGAAAUACAAACUCUUGACAUUAGCUAUCUUGUCAACAACUGCAUUCCUCUUUCCUGAACAUUACUUUGUAGGCUCACAUAGUAUUUUCUUGGGUAUGAGGCUGCUGUCAUCAGUGGCUCUUGUAGGACCAAAGUUCAAAAAACAACUAAGCCAGGUGUUUUCUUUCUUCUAAAGAAAAGUCACUACUGGUUUUCCAUAUUCAUCUCUAACACUGUGAGCAGGCUGCUGAAAUAAUUCUGUACUAGAAGUCAUACGACAAUGACUUGCCUAGGCCAAAACAUAAUAAAGCAGAAUAAACAAUUGCUUUUCUGUACUUUAGAACUCUGAGCCCAAAUCUCUUCCAUUUGGAAUCAAUAGGUUUUCAGUCUGUUCACUGUGGUUUUUAAAUUGGAAUUCUGCCUGCAGCUUCCCUGCAGUACUUUUGCUUUUUAGGAAAACUACAUUUGAAAAUUCAUGAAAAAUUCAACACUGACAGCACAUCUACAGCCUGAAACAAUAGUGUGGGAAGUUUUGCAAAGUGUAUGUACACGCUAUAUGUAUAUACACAUGCAGUAACACUACAGCUAUAAGGAAAAGAGGGAGAACAUCUAUUUCUUAAAUCCAUCAUGGAUCAAAAAUGAAUUUGGAGGAGGGCCCCACAAAACGUCUGAAGAAACUAUAUCACAGCCUUAGUUACUUUAGAAGCAAGUGAAACAAAGCCCACUCAGUUUACUUGUCAAAAGAUCUGCUAAUAAGCUGUCUGUACUGGAAAGUUCUUGGAACAUCAGUGGCUAUUAACUCAGGUGGCAUUUGCCAAGUUCUACCCAGACACAUUCUGAUAGUGAUAGGACACGGGAAUGGUCUUACACUGAAAGAGGGGAGAUUUAGAUUUGAUAUUAAGAGGAAAUUCUUUACUUAGAGAGUUGUGUGGCCCAGGCACAGCUGCACAGAGAGCUGUGGAUGCCCCAUCCCUGGGGCAUCAAGGCCAGGCUGGGUAGGGCCCUGAGCAGCCUGAUCUGGUAGGAGGCAACCCUGCACACAGCACAGGGUUGGAACUGCAUGAUCUUUAAGGUCCUUUCCCGUCCAAGCCACUCUGAUUUUAUGAUUCUAUGACACUAUUGCAAAGGUGAAGUGGGUAUGAUCAAGCUGAACAGGAAUGGAAAGAUGUAAGGGAUCUCUUAUUUUGUAUUCCCCACCAGACAGUUGUAGCAACAUCUGUAGCCCACUAAUUGGGUGAACGUGAUGAAUUAAUGGGCCAAGAAAGCUUCAUGUUCUCAUACUGAGAGGACGUGCUAUGCAGCGCACGCCCCCAGUAUCUGUUUCUGAUUUAGGAAGCAGUCUUGUUUUGUUCAAUGAAAUGACUGCAGUUUCAUGACAUGCAGCUUUCUUUGCCUGUGCUUGGGUGACCAAUUGAUACCUUAAACAAAGAUUAAAUCUCUGCCUUCUCAGUGUCCUCAUGUGCAGUGUCUCCUUCACAGAACCACGUAUUUUAUGUCAAUUUUUCACAUGAAUGAGCACACACAGCAUACAAAUAUCUGAACACAACACAUGCAACCAUCUGUCUUUGGAGGGAAGAAGACUUGGUUGGUACGUACGACUGCAAGUCAUACAAUCUUUGACAUGACUAUAUUUCAGUUGGCCAUGUGCAUGUGCUGAUAAUAUAAUUAGCCAUGCCUGUUUUACUUUAUUUCAAACUUUUCCUGCUCAAAAGAUUUCAUAUCCAGAAUAGAAAAAAAAAUUAGGCUGCCAAGAAGAUGCACUUGUUAGAGAUAGUAAUGUAUUUAUGGAAAAUAUCAUCAUUACAAUGAAACUACUUAUGAAGCAAGAUUUCAUUCCAAGUAACUGAGUAGUUUAAUUAGAAUGAAAUUUCCUUUUUCCUUACAGUGAAACAGAACAAGAGUUAUUUGUAUGCAAACAGCAGAUUUCACUUCUUGUUGCAACCAGGCUGAAAAGCCAUGAAUCAGAUCCCCAAAAUCUGAAUGCUUUUAACAAUUAGGAGAACUUGGAAAGCAGCACAUUUUCUUUCUCCUUUUCAUAGCCCACAGCACCUUAUUCCUGAAGAAACAUCCACAUCGCAUUUUCAACCUCACUUUAUUACUAUGAAAAUUUCUAAAUCCCUCUUUUUCCCAUUAAACUUGAUAUUCUCACAUAACACCAUUUCAAGAGUCACUAACACAUGAAAUAUUAGCAGAAUAACAAGUGUAAGAUAGAUAAAUUCUGGGCUAAAAACAAUGUGAUCGGGUCUCACACAUACUGUGACUUCAUGAGCUGAAGGUCUGAAAUAGGACAGCUCUCUGGAGCACAGCUAAGAGCUGUGCAGGCAGGGCAGAGGUGUGUGCACAGAUCUGCACACAGUGCCUUCAGGGCCUUAGGGAACAGCCAUUACCUGGCAUCAGAACGUCAUGUGGGCCUUCAGGUUAAGAAUAUUAAAACCCAGCUACAGCUCGGAGUCGUGUGUGCUUAAUCUCACCCAUUCUUAUUUUGGGGUACAGGCUAAUUUGACACUUGCCCAUUAAGGAAGCCAAAAUAAACAUUUCUGAGAAGUCAUUUUGUAAAACUGCAGAAUUACUUCCCAUGAUGAAGCAGCACGAAUAUAGCUGAACAAAAAUUCCCCAGUGGUACUGGGUAUAAAAAGUAAAGAACCGAGUUGACAGACAAUUAAAUGAUUCAGCUUCUCUCUGCAGAAAUUUCCCCAUGGUGAUUCCUUAAGAGCCAUCACCAGAAGGUAAAAAACAAUUUCAGACCAGAAGUUGGAGCUGAACUGGCUCUACCAAUCUGGUCUCUUCUGCAGAUAUAUCCUGACAGCAGGAGAGAAGCAAAUACAAUUUUUCACUAAGGGGAAGGACCCAAAGACUCUGAGAUUCAUUUUAAGAUUCUGUACUACUGUGAAAAAGCUGUUGGGUAUAAGGGCUCGUUGAGGUUAAUCAUAGCCAUGUUCACCUUCCUAAAAAUGAGAUGCUUUAUUGAGGUACUGGGCCUUAAGGUCUUCUAUGGAAAAUGAACUUUACUGAUAUCCUUUGGCAUAACAUGAUAAUAGAUAACUACUAUCUAUCUAUUAUUAGCAUAGCUAACACGCUAGGAGUGUUGCUCAUCUGCAGAGACUUAGAGGACUUCUCUAAGGCCAGCUGGAUAAAGACAAGGAUUGCAAUUCUCAUUUCUAUAGGUGGGUACAAACUGAUGCUCAGAUUAUAAAGGGCCUAAUAAAUAGCAGCAAUAAUGCUGCUUCUAGGUUUUCUCAUUAUUUGACAGCUCUUAAUUUUGCUGCCUACGAAUAGACCGCAUUAUUAGCCGUGAAACACUUUAAACUAGAGGAAAAAGGAAAAAAUGACUAAAGUAACAUAUGCAGAUUGUGCCAAUGAGGGGGUGGGAUCUCUGUCUUUGAACCUUAGACAAGAAUUUACAAGCCUUUCCAGCCUAUUUAAUCUUAACUAUUAAGCAUCUGGGAAGGUAUUGGGUUUUCUUCUCCUUUACUAAGAAAUCCAUUGUCUAUUAUAAAGCUGUAAUGCUUAUUGAUUUGGUUUGGUUUUGAACGAUGGCAUACGUUGGUAUUUCAAAUGUUCAGGAAAUACCCCGGUGUCCAACUGAACAUUGUAAAUAAAAGGUAUUUAGCUGUUCAACUGUACACACAUCCAAAUACAUUUCAUGUAAUCUGCACUCAGUCUGAUGCAGAAGACAGAGGGCCAUAAACCCCCCGUUCUAAUCUGAUGGCGACACUUUUGUAAUAAAGUAUAAUACAACCACAUAGAACAGAACAAUAGAAUUCGUGUCUACAUUGAGCAUCGCCUAGGUUUUGUGGGGGGGUUUCGGGUGACAUCUACUGGAGAUCAAGUAAAUAGCUAGCAAUUGUCAAAAUUAGUUACUACAAUAACUGAAAUAAGUCUUCUUUCAGCAAUAGUAACUGAGUUCACAUACUGCCGUGAGCCCCUCAUAAUUCAUGAGUUUGACUUCAAAUUCAUGAGACAUUUCAAAACAGAUAUUUUUAAUGAAAAACGUGGCUUUCAAAUAUUCACGUUGGCAGGAGAUGAAGCUUAAAAGCAAACAGAGUUCUGAUAAGAUGAAGUGAGGUGGCAAUGUUCACUCCCUAGAGCAGAUGAUAUGAGGAAAAAUCAAUGCAAAGUGGAGCUGAACAUAUCACAAUGUGGAUCCACUGGGGCUCUGUCUAUUUAUUUUCAUCUCUGAUACCAGCAACGAUGCAUGCAGAUUUUUACUCAAUUUUCUUUUCUCCGACUGCUUCUUUCAGAAAUAAAUGAAAUCAUGUCACUCAUAUUCCCAUACAUAUGUUUCAUAUCCAGUUGUAGCCAAAGGCCACGACACUUAAAAAAACAGAGACUUCUGAAAAAUGUAUAUGAAAUUGGUAAAUGAGAUUUUGGUUUCACUAGCUGGAGCUGAAUGCCAAUUAAAUCUAUGCUUUUAAAAUUUAUAUGUUUGUAGUAAUUCUCCAUUUUACUACAAUUUAGGGAACAUCACAUUGCAAUUAUUACCCCUUUGGAAAUAUUACGGAAAAGAUCAUUUUAAACGGUAUUUUUUAUUACACGUCCUUCUCAAAUAUAAAUGUAUGUUUGCGUGAGCGCGUGCGUUCAGCUACAUGUGUCCUUCAGAAUUUCAGAUUCAAGAAUCCAAAUCCAAGCAUCUUUUUAGUGUUUGGUAAAGAGCUUUCCUGGGACACUCGCAGAAAUCUGCCAGAAGCUUUCAUGGUCCUUUCGGACUAUGAAACAAACAACAGUUUAUUUCAAAUUUAAAUUCACCAACAAACUCGAGUCUUUGUUUUGUAGCUCUGGGUUUGUUUCUGGAAUCCAGGGACUACCUUUGCAUUCACUUUCAUCAGUCACCAGCUCCUUACGUGUUCUUAUCUGUAUUUCCCUGUGAUUUAUUACACAUUCCAGAAAGCACCUACAACUGUGUUGUUUCCUGCUACUUCAAAACAUACCAUGUGUUUCUUUAUUACCAGGACAGAGUUAUUUUAGGGACAGAUUACCCUUUUCCACUGGGGGAACUCGAACCUGGAAAACUGAUUGAUUCAAUGGACGAUUUUGACAAUAAACUGAAGGAUAAGCUCAAGGCCGGCAACGCUCUGGAAUUUUUGGGUCUUAGCAGAAAGCAAUUUGAAUAAAGCCGAAGAUCCCGCAGA